CAGCAGCCGCGGUAAUACGUAGGGUGCGAGCGUUAAUCGGAAUUACUGGGCGUAAAGCGUGCGCAGGCGGUUGUGUAAGACAGGUGUGAAAUCCCCGGGCUUAACCUGGGAACUGCGCUUGUGACUGCACAGCUAGAGUAUGGCAGAGGGGGGUGGAAUUCCACGUGUAGCAGUGAAAUGCGUAGAGAUGUGGAGGAAUACCGGUGGCGAAGGCGGCCCCCUGGACAAAGACUGACGCUCAGGUGCGAAAGCGUGGGGAGCAAACAGGAUUAGAUACCCGUGUAGUCCUUGUCUCUUAUAC
rnacentral:rRNA from 1 species